CUGUCACUGUGUAUCUGUGUGUGACUAUAUGUGUGUGUCUGGGUGCACAUAAGCCCGCUAUCACUUUCCUGUCAGAGGAGAGCGGGGGUGUUGGAGUCUCGUAAAUCCAAGCGUCGCAUCGUAGAGACACAGCCGUGUCCAGACCCCACACCUGCAAACCAACUGGAACUGUUGCCACGUUGCCAUGAUUACGGGGGCGGGGCCUGCCUCUGCAAAGAGGAGCUGGACCUGAGCUCCCCUCCUAAGAGGAUGUUUGCCCUCUACCACCCCACCUACAACGGAAACACUCCUCUCUCCAGGACGGUGCAUCACUACAACAGCACUGAGGAUACAUGCAGGGUGACCCCCCCCUGCCUUCCGUGCGCCCUCCAGUCCAACA
ensembl:lncRNA